GGGGCUAUAGUUAAUAAUAACAUUUGAGUUGCAUUCAAAAAGUACUACCCCUAAGUAGUUAGCCUCA
rnacentral:tRNA from 1 species